GACGAACGCUGGCGGCGUGCCUAAUACAUGCAAGUCGAGCGGACGAAUCGAAAGCUUGCUUUUGAUUCGUUAGCGGCGGACGGGUGAGUAACACGUGGGCAACCUGCCCUGUAGACGGGGAUAACACCGAGAAAUCGGUGCUAAUACCGGAUAACACGAAAUGUCGCAUGACGUUUCGUUGAAAGACGGCGCAAGCUGUCGCUACAGGAUGGUCCCGCGGCGCAUUAGCUAGUUGGUGAGGUAACGGCUCACCAAGGCGACGAUGCGUAGCCGACCUGAGAGGGUGAUCGGCCACACUGGGACUGAGACACGGCCCAGACUCCUACGGGAGGCAGCAGUAGGGAAUCUUCCGCAAUGGACGAAAGUCUGACGGAGCAACGCCGCGUGAGCGAAGAAGGCCUUCGGGUCGUAAAGCUCUGUUGUUAGGGAAGAACAAGUAACGCAGUAACUGGCGUUACCGUGACGGUACCUAACGAGAAAGCCACGGCUAACUACGUG
rnacentral:rRNA from 1 species